UACGUAGGCAGCAAGCGUUGUUCGGAGUUACUGGGCGUAAAGGGUGUGUAGGCGGUCUUCUAAGUUUGGUGUGAAAUCUCCCGGCUCAACUGGGAGGGUGCGCCGAAAACUGGGAGGCUAGAGUGCGGGAUGGGAGAGUGGAAUUCCUGGUGUAGCGGUGAAAUGCGUAGAUAUGCGGAGGAACACCAAUGGCGAAGGCAAUCUCCUGGACCUGCACUGACGCUCAUGCACGAAAGCGUGGGGAGCAAACAGG
rnacentral:rRNA from 1 species